AAUAUUGCACAAUGGGCGCAAGCCUGAUGCAGCCAUGCCGCGUGUAUGAAGAAGGCCUUCGGGUUGUAAAGUACUUUCAGCGGGGAGGAAGGGAGUAAAGUUAAUACCUUUGCUCAUUGACGUUACCCGCAGAAGAAGCACCGGCUAACUCCGUGCCAGCAGCCGCGGUAAUACGGAGGGUGCAAGCGUUAAUCGGAAUUACUGGGCGUAAAGCGCACGCAGGCGGUUUGUUAAGUCAGAUGUGAAAUCCCCGGGCUCAACCUGGGAACUGCAUCUGAUACUGGCAAGCUUGAGUCUCGUAGAGGGGGGUAGAAUUCCAGGUGUAGCGGUGAAAUGCGUAGAGAUCUGGAGGAAUACCGGUGGCGAAGGCGGCCCCCUGGACGAAGACUGACGCUCAGGUGCGAAAGCGUGGGGAGCAAACAGGAUU
rnacentral:rRNA from 1 species